GCAGGGGGUCUCGUGCUCUGGAGAAAAGGCAGCGGCUGGAGAUACUCCAGGAAUGCCAGUCUGAGUAGGCCUAUGUUGCUGCAGAGGAAAGAGAUGGCUUCACUGCUGACGGGGUCCCAUCAAUUGAUGUGUCAAGAAGAAGUUGCAGAGCCUUGGUCAAACCAGAGGUUGCCAGGAUGUCAAACCCUGGGUGGGAAGUAUAAUAAACCAUCUGUACUGGGCUGUGGUCUCGACGCCUCCUGGCAAUGUUCAACUUGUGGUGGACAAAUGGACGUCAGUUAUGGAUCACAUCCACAACAGGCAUACCGGA